rnacentral:rRNA from 1 species
UUUUUAGAGGAUUUGAUCCUGGUCCAGGAUGAAUGCUGGCGGCGUGGAUAAGGCAUGCAAGUCGAGCGGAUCAUGUGUCUGGCACUCGGGUUGUCUUAUAAAGGAAGAGUUAUUUUCCCGAAUAAGGUAAUCCGAAUGCCAGAUGUAUGAUUAGCGGCGAACGAGUUAGUAACACCCUAGUACGUACCCCAUAGUCGGGGAUAGCCCGCCGAAAGGCGGAGUAAUACCCGAUAGUCCCGCAAGGGUAAAGCAGCAAUGCGCUUUGGGAUCGGCUUAGGCCCGAUCAGCUAGUUGGUAAGGUAAUGGCUUACCAAGGCUAUGACCGGUAGGGG